CCGUUCCGUUGGUGAACCUGCGGAAGGAUCAUUAC
rnacentral:rRNA from 1 species